rnacentral:rRNA from 1 species
UCCGUAGGGGGCAAGCGUUGUCCGGAUUUAUUGGGCGUAAAGAGCGUGUAGGCGGCCUGGAAGGUCAGCUGUGAAAACUCGAGGCUCAACCUCGAGACGUCGGUUGAAACCACCUGGCUAGAGUCCGGAAGAGGAGAGUGGAAUUCCCGGUGUAGCGGUGAAAUGCGCAGAUAUCGGGAAGAACACCCGUGGCGAAGGCGGCUCUCUGGGACGGUACUGACGCUGAGACGCGAAAGCGUGGGGAGCGAACAGG